UUGGGAGAAAUCCUACCACAGGUGGUGCAUGGCCGUCGUCAGCUCGUGUUGUGAGAUGUUGGGUUAAGUCCCGCAACGAGCGCAACCCUUGUCCUUAUUUGCUUCCUCGUAUGAGGUGCUCUAUAAGGAGACUGCCGGCGACAAGCCGGAGGAAGGAGGGGACGACGUCAGGUCAGUAUGCCCUUUAUGCCCUGGGCUACACAGGCGCUACAGUGGCAAGGACAAUGAGUAGCGAGAGCGCAAGCUCGAGCUAAUCUCACAAACCUUGUCGUGGUGCGAAUUGAAGGUUGAAACUCACCUUCAUGAAGACGGAAUCGGUAGUAAUGGCGUAUCAGCUAUGUCGCCGUGAAUACGUUCCCGGGCCUUGCACACACCGCCCGUCACGCCACGGAAGCUGGUGUUUUCGGAAGUCCUCAAGCUAACCCGCAAGGGAGGCAGAGGCCGAUGAAAACAUCGGUAACUGGGGCGAAGUCGUAACAAGGUAGCCGUAGGGGAACCUGC
rnacentral:rRNA from 1 species